rnacentral:misc_RNA from 1 species
AAGCUUUCUGUACUGGUUGGACGCCGGUAUCAAGCCGCGGAUCGAGAGCUGCUCACUGAGCGGUAAGGGCCGGCGUGUGUUGCUGGACCUCAAGGAUCAGUACCCCUCUAUCCUGGAGCUGGACGUACAGACCCAGGCCCUCUACUGGAACGACAAAAACACCAAACAGCUGUUCACCGCCCGGAUGGACGGGUCCUCCAUGAAAGUCCUCAAGUCCAGUAUCCCACACAUCACGGGGAUCUUCAUUGAAGGUAACUACAUCUACUGGAUUGACUGGUGGAACAAGGACAUAGAGAAGAUCCCUAUUUCCGGUCAGGAGGAAGCGUCCGUCAUUUUGAGCCCGAUCAAGGACAUGGAGGAUUUGAUCAGUGUCAAGGUCGUCUCUGGUGUUGUUCAAUGUAAGGCGGGCCCUGAUUGGUCGACGAGUAUACAUAUCACGUACAAUAAUCAGAAGUUGUACCUCCAUGUCCUCCACGCCCUGCCUAUAAAUUCAAGGCCUUCACCUACAUGGUCAACGGUACCGUGAGGGCAAAGUUCACCUGGGAAGCAGGCUACGGCUGGAAAAUACCCCAAUACUUCGAACUCGACCGGAGAGAUGUUGACUCCCAAAUCUGGGUAGAGGUGCAUAAAAUAGAAGCUGACAGUAACAGGAGCGUCAUCAUAGCGCUGGAACACAGCCAGGAGUACCAGUUUAGACUGCGCGCCUGUAAUACGUAUGGCUGUAGUCGUAGCAACACACCGGAAGUUAAAUUCACCACAGACAGUGCGUCAGUGUUUUCCUCCUCAGAAGAGCAUUAUAACGCAAUUCCGACUUUAUUGAAGACGGGAAUUAUUUUAGGAGGGGUCAUCGUUUCCAUUGGAAUUCUGCUCGGUAUCUGGGGUUACUGGAGAGCGAGGAAAAGGAAGACAAACAGACGAUACAGAGCUGUCCGAUACUCAACGGCAUCAUACAUCACGUGAUCAUUGAAUGCCAUUGACUCUGUGUUGCUCGUUAAAGUCCGUGCGUCAUCGGAAACCUUCGGACAUUUACUUAAACGUACACGAUUGAUCUUGGGUUUCCGGUGAUGUGUUUCGUGCAAUUUUUUUGCUUUUAUAUAUAAAGGUGCAUUGUGGAUUUUGAUGAAAAAAAUUGUGAAUGUGAGAAUACAAUGUAGAUGUUUAUGGUUCGAACAUAAUAUUAUGUUCUUGUAUGAAUGAUUAUAAGAGUUUGAGACUGUGUAUAAUAUUGCAUGAUUGAAAACAAAAAUAUUCUCCGAGGCCAAGACAAAAUACGUGUUUCCGGUCGCCUGGCCGAUCCUUAAUUUAUUUAUUUUUUCUUGAUGAAUAUGCAUGAUGGUCAGCGUCUGUUUUCCUGAAUAACUUGCUUUUAAUUGAGUAAAGUUGUUAGGCUAAGCGAUGUUUUAAGUAUAUUACGUCUGGGAUCCAAAAUCUUCAAUUUAGGUUGUUAAUUGAAAAAAGCACAUUCUACCAACGGAGUCCUUUAAAAACUCCCGGGCGACUUGAAACAGUCGUAUAGAUAUCUUUUGGCCUAACUGAGACUAUUUACAAACGUGUUUUAUGAAGAUGGAGAAUUUGAAUAAACGAAUGCUUU